UACGUAGGGACCAAGCGUUGUUCGGAUUUACUGGGCGUAAAGGGCGCGUAGGCGGCAAUUCAAGUCAGCUGUGAAAUCUCCGGGCUUAACUCGGAACGGUCAGCUGAUACUGCUUUGCUAGAGUGCCGAAGGGGCAAUCGGAAUUCUUGGUGUAGCGGUGAAAUGCGUAGAGAUGUGGAGGAAUACCGAUGGCGAAGGCAGCCCCCUGGGAUAACACUGACGCUCAUGCACGAAAGCGUGGGGAGCAAACAGG
rnacentral:rRNA from 1 species